AGAGGGGUAAGCCCUCGGCAUAUUGCUCAGUAACACGCGGAUAACCUGCCCUUGGGUUUGGGAUAACCCCGGGAAACUGGGACUAAUACCGGAUAGAUCAAAGAUACUGGAAUGUUCUUUGGUCGAAAGCUCCGGCGCCCAAGGAUGGGUCUGCGGCCUAUCAGGUAGUAGUGGGUGUAACGUACCUACUAGCCUACGACGGGUAAGGGUUGUGAGAGCAAGAGCCCUGAGAUGGAUUCUGAGACAUGAAUCCAGGCCCUACGGGGUGCAGCAGGCGCGAAAACUUUACACUGCGGGAAACCGCGAUAAGGGGACCCCGAGUGCCAGCACCUAGUGCUGGCUGUCCAGCUGUUCAAAAAACAGUUGUUAGCAAGGGCCGGGCAAGACCGGUGCCAGCCGCCGCGGUAACACCGGCGGCCCGAGUGGUAGCCGUUAUUAUUGGGUUUAAAGGGUCCGUAGCCGGCCUAUUAAGUCUCUUGGGAAAUCUGGCGACUCAAUCGUCAGGCGUUCAAGAGAUACUGGUAGGCUUGGGACCGGGAGAGGUGGGAGGUACUCCAGGGGUAGGGGUGAAAUCUCGUAAUCCUUGGGGGACCACCGAUGGCGAAGGCAUCCCACCAGAACGGGUCCGACGGUGAGGGACGAAAGCUGGGGGCACGAACCGGAUUAGAUACCCGGGUAGUCCCAGCUGUAAACGAUGCUCGCUAGGUGUCAGGUGCGGUGCGACCGCAUUUUGGUGCCGUAGUGAAAACU
rnacentral:rRNA from 1 species